CCAUUUCGGCCCCAAAAAAGUUUUAUUUAAAUCCAAAAUGUUCAGACUCCAAAGUCAAAAUGGACAGCCGAGAUUGUACGAUUCCGUAAAAAAUUGGAAUUAUGGCCCCUCCCCGAAUAAGUCAAGUCUCUUCCUAAUAUUUGAUGAACUAAAUUUGGCGGGCCACGGCAGGUUCAGCCCAUUUAUGGCCCCAUUCGGAAACCAUACAUACCCUACCGAAAAUAAUGUCCUUAUCAUUGAAGUCCAUACCACCGUGUCAUUUCCGUUCAGCCCAUAAAAUACUCUAUCACAAGUUCACAACUAGCUAGAAGAAAAUCUUGCUUGGCGUGUAUGACUCUCUCUUAAUGGAUGACUUGUGAUUCUUGUCCUCUCUCUCUCUCUCCUCUGUUGCCGGCCAAGAAAAACCGAGCUCUCACACCAACUUUUCUAUACAUUAACCUACGGUCUCCUCUGCUCCAAAUUCCAUCCGUUCUCAAUCUUUGAUUUCAAUCUCUCCAUGUAGAAAUUCAGAAACUUCCUUUUGCCAACCGACAAGCUCCGGUAUUCAGUGCUGAACUUGUAAUCAAUGGGGAUUACCUGGUUCUCUGUGCUGAACUUCUAGGAUGCGUGUGAGCUCAGUACCGACUGUUGUUCUCCUUGCUGCGCAUCUGUGGUUUUAUCUUGCCAUCUCUCAAUUAUGAUCUUAUCAUUGCCAAUAUCAGAGGAAUUAGUUUCAGGGCAGUGAGGGCACAAUCUAAAAUUGCAACCAUUUUUAUCAAUGUGAUUUUAAACUUUCCACAUGAUAAUGUUGACUGAUAUAGUGUAAUUGUUUGUUAGUACUA